rnacentral:rRNA from 1 species
UACGUAGGGGGCUAGCGUUGUCCGGAUUUAUUGGGCGUAAAGAGCGUGUAGGCGGCCAGGUAGGUCUGCUGUGAAAACUCGAGGCUCAACCUCGAGACGUCGGCGGAAACCAUCUGGCUAGAGUCCGGAAGAGGAGAGUGGAAUUCCGUGGUGUAGCGGUGAAAUGCGCAGAUAUCAGGAAGAACACCCGUGGCGAAGGCGGCUCGCUGGGACGUGACUGACGCUGAGACGCGAAAGCGUGGGGAGCAACAGG